CCGUUAACCCUUUCAAAUGGGUGCUUAAAAUUGUUUGGCCAAUGGCGGACAUGUUUUUUUGAGAUAUGCAAAUGUCCUCAUAGGUACUUGUGCCCCUUCAGACCAAGACACUGCAUACCAAUUUUCAAGUCGAUCGAGUCAACGGUUGCCUAGUUAUAGCCAUUUAUGUGUUUUUUCUUUUUAUAGCGCCCCCAAGUGGCAGAUGUGUGCAAUUUUUUUUAUUUGACCAAAGUUUUAGCUCAUACAAAUGUUCAGCGAGUUUGGUUUAGAUAUCUCAUUUCAUUCAUGAGUUAUAGCCUGUUGCGUAAAAUUGGUCCUCGACUUUCGAACAUUUUGGCAUCCCAUUACGACAGUGAGUCGAAAUUUCUACUUUUUUUUGAUAAUUAUUGAUAUUCACUGGACAGAGAACAUUUCUGCAGUGGUUUGGUUCAGAUUGGGCGAAAAACCUAGGACUAGUUCGCAAAAGUAGGUUUUGGACAUACGUCAAAUUUGCGAAAAAACGAGGCCUCCUAGACCCAAAAUCAGAGUGACCGUUUUUAAUUUCGCAUGACCCACGGAUUCCAGAAAUGUUAAAUUUUUGGCUCUAUCACAAGCGGUUUAGGAGCUAUUAGCAAGAACGCAUUUUUGAUCGCUGUAGCGCCCCCCACUGGCCGAUUGGGCCGGAUCUUUGCGCCUGAGUAGCGAGCAAGACUACUACCUUUUGACCAAGUUUCAAGUCUCUAGGCCUUACGGUUUGGGCUGCCCGUUCAGUUUUAAGGCGGAAAAAUAAUAAUAAUAAUAAUAAAAAUCCUAACAAUUACAAUAGGGUUUCAGCACUGCGUGCUUGAACCCCUAAUAAUAAAAAUCCUAACAAUUACAAUAGGGUUUCAGCACUGCGUGCUUGAACCCCUAAUAAUUAAAGCUGCAAGCAGCAUUUACGGGGUUCAAGCACUUAAGGGAUCUUAGGUGGUCAGAGCCAACCUGGACAUAUAUGGAUGGCCGUUAAACACAUCCAAAAUGGAGAAUAGGCUAACAGACAGACACACACACUGAAAUUAAAUGAUUAAACUCGUUUUUAAGAUUUUAGAUGUCAUUUUCAGGUUUCACUGUAAUCAUAAUGUGGUAAAAUUUUAAAAACUGAUAUGUCUGAAUGAACAAAAUGGAAAACUUUAACUCAAUGAGAUUUGAAAUGUUGUAAGAGUGUUUUUUGUAUUGUUUAGGCAUUACAUCCUUUCAACUGUACAGUUUAAGUUAGCUGAAUGAGCCCAUUAGUGGUUUUCCGCUGCCAUCUAGUGGUUAUAAAUGGCAAUUUCUCAUAUAUCAAUGUGUUAAUCCUUUUAACUCUUAGUGUUUUUUGCCCAAUAUCUCUUAAAUAUGGCAUGCUCGUUUAGAAUGAAAUUAUGCAUUAUUUUACACAGUUUUGAUAAUUUGUGGGCUUUCUGUUUGUAUUAAUAGGCCUUUGUGUACACUAUGCAAAUAACAUAUUAUAAAAUUACUGGUUUAUAGUUGUCCAAAUGCAAUUGUUCAACAUG